rnacentral:lncRNA from 1 species
AUUUGGGUUUAAUCAUCCAAUGGGAGGGCUAACUAUUUGAUGCAGAACAGUGCUGACGUCAUUGCUGACGUCAUCACCAGCAAGGCUGACAUCAUCGUCAGAAAUUUAUUUUUUUAUUUUCUUUUUAUCUUAUUUAGUAAUUUCUAAUUUAGAGUCUAGAAGUUCUAGAAUAGUUGGUUUACUACUAAGUUGAUAUUAGUAAUACAAUUCAAAGUAGGAUUUGUAUUUUGAUUUCUUUGUUUAGGAAGUCCUAGUGCUAGUUGGUCUUAGUCUUUAGUCUAUAUAAAGAGUCAUGCUUUGUAGAACCAAUUCAAUUAUUCAAUCAAUACAAUUAAGAUUUGUCUCUACAAUUUAGUUUUCUCUAGUUUUAUAUUAGUUCUUCAUUGUUUCAAGGCAAACCUCCCCUUGGGUUAUUCAAGGUUUGAUUUUUAAUCGCUUCCGCUACGUCAAUUGGUAUCAAGAGCUUCGUUUCGAUCCUACAAUGGUUAAUGACGGAGAUUCUUCACCCCGCUCCCAAGUCGGUAAUCUUGGAGAUUAUGUGACGAAGGUUGAAUUCAAUUCGGCUAUUAAUCGUCUCACCGCUUCAAUCGAUAAUCUUACUCUUCGAUUUGAUAAGUUGGAAGGUAAGCAACCUAAUGUUGAUGCUCCCACCCUCCCACCCUUUACUAUGACCAAUAUAUCUCAACCACCCCAAUUUUCCACCACCACCACAACUUUACCACAAGGUUCCAAUAUUGACUUCACAUCUCUCCCUAUUCAUGGUUGCCCCCAAACACCACAAAACCUAUUUUCACAUCCCUACCCAUACAAACAACCCUAUAAUAACUCCCAACCAUCUCAACUCUCCAAUACUCCACAAGUUCGCACCACUUAUACGACUAUUGCUUCUCAAUCUCAAUCUCGCUACGAACUCCUACAUUCAACCAACAAUGUCCCACCCACUACACAAAAUUUUCAACCACCCCCCAAUCUUCCUAUUAAUCGUUUUCAACAAACUUAUCACCGUCGCGCCCCUCGAGCACCAAAUUCUUAUCUUGAUGAUCAUGAUAGUGAUGAUGAUGCUGAAAAUUACUAUCAACAAGCAUGCCCUCAACCUCAACCUCAACAACACCACAACAAUAAUUUUCGUACUCAAUCUGACCAGUUUCGUAUGAAAAUUGAUCUCCCUACUUUUACUGGUAAUAUGCAUAUUGAGGAGACUCUUGAUUGGAUUCAUGAAGUUGAGAAUUUCUUUGAGUACAUGGAUACUCCUGAACAUGCACAAGUUAAGCUUGUGGCAUAUAAACUCAAACAAGGUGCUUCUGCUUGGUGGGAACAACUCAAGGCUCGUCGUCGAAAGAAUAAUAAGCGAGAUAUUGUUUCUUGGGCACGUAUGAAAACUUUGAUUAUGGAGCGUUUCUUGCCUAAGGAUUAUGAGCAAAUUUUAUACAACCAACUGCUAUCGUGUCGCCAAGGAUCUCGUAGUGUUGAUGACUAUGCUGCUGAGUUUCAUCGCUUGGUAUCUCAAAAUAACAUCGUGGAAAGUGAAGAUCAAUUAGUUACUCGUUUUCGUAAUGGUUUGAAUAGGAAUAUCGUGGAGAAGAUUUUUCACUCAAUUCCUACCUUGGCCGAUGCAAUUCAAAUCGCACUCAACAUUGAGCAACAUAAUGGUUUCCGCUCGAAUUCUAGUAAGUCAUACUCUUCUCCAUCAUCUUCUUCUUAUCCAAAUCGUCGCAACAACUACAACCCUUCACCAUCAUCUACUGCACACCACAAUAAUCAAAAUUCUCCAAACACUAACUAUUCACCCAACACUCCUACAAACAAUCAAGCCACACUUGCUUCCAACGAUGAUCAACCUCCACCUACCAAAGCUCCACAAACCACCCAACCAAGCAAAACCAAUCCAUAUGCUUACCCUACCAUGCCCAAUUGUUACCGUUGCGGCCAACCUGGACAUAAGCAACAUGAAUGUCCAAAACGAGACAAGUCUAGAGUUAACUUUAUUGAUCAUGAUGAAAACGAUUGCGAUGAUGACUAUGAUGAAGAUUACUAUGAUAAAUGUGAACCUAGUAAUGAGAUUCAAUAUGAAGUGGAUGCUCCAUUCCUGGGUGUUAUUCGAAGGCUUCUCUAUGCUCCUUCUCAACCGGUGAAUUCUGAACGAAAAAGGAUCUUUCAGACUCGUUGUCAAGUUAAGGAUAAGGCUGUUAAUUUAAUUAUUGAUGGUGGUUCCCAUGAUAAUUAUGUUUCUACUUAUAUGGUGACUAGGUUGGAUCUACCAGUGACUCCACAUCCUAAGCCUUAUUCCGUUGGUUGGGUUAAGGAUGGUCACUCACUCAUGGUGACUACUCAAUGUCGUGUUCCAUUUUCUCUUGGUAAGUAUCAUGAUGAGGUUCUUUGUGAUGUUCUUGAUAUGGAUGCUAGCCAUUUGUUACUUGGUCGACCUUGGCAAUGGGAUCGUCGUGCUAUGUAUGAUUGUUAUGCCAAUACAUUUACCUUUAAGAAAGAUGAUGAAAAACAUACUUUAGGUUCUAUGCGUCCAAAACCUGUUCAUGAAGUUUCUAAAGUCGAAGAACGAACUUGUUUGAUUUCUAAGGACCAUGAAGAGGAUUUCAAAAAGACUGACACAAUCUAUGCUCUUGUACUUAAGGAAGAAAAGAGAGAAGAAUCAAAAAUUCCCAUGGUUGUCCAACCUUUAUUGGAUGAAUUCAAAACUAUCAUACCCACCGAUCUACCUUCAUCAUUGCCUCCAAUGCGUGAUAUUCAACAUCACAUUGAUUUGAUGCCUGGUGCAAGUCUUCCCAAUCUUCCCCACUAUCGUAUGGCACCUAAAGAACAUGAAGAGCUUCGACGCCAAGUUCAUGAUUUACUCGAGAAAAGCCUCAUUCGCCCUAGUAUGAGUCCUUGUGCAGUUCCUGCUUUGCUUGUGCCAAAGAAAGAUGGUUCUUGGCGUAUGUGUGUUGAUAGUCGUGCAAUCAACCAAAUUACCAUUCGCUACAGGUUUCCUAUUCCUCGCUUGGAUGAUAUGCUUGAUAUGCUUAUUGGUUCUAAAGUGUUCUCUAAGAUUGAUUUAAAGAGUGGUUAUCAUCAAAUCCGCAUACGACCGGGAGAUGAAUGGAAAACUGCUUUCAAGACAAAGGAUGGUCUUUAUGAAUGGAUGGUAAUGCCUUUUGGUUUGUCAAAUGCCCUAAGCACAUUUAUGCGUUUGAUGACUAAAGUGUUGCAGCCUCUCAUUGGAAAGUUCGUUGUCGUAUAUUUUGAUGACAUAUUAAUUUAUAGUCAGAAUGAGCAACAACACAUGUGUCAUCUUUAGGAAGUCUUCAAGGUUCUCUAUGAUAAUUCGCUUCUCAUCAACAUCAAGAAGUGUGAUUUCAUGACAGACCGCAUUCUUUUUCUUGGCUACAUUGUAAGUGCUUCAGGUAUACAUGUUGAUGAAGACAAGGUGAAAGCAAUACGAGAAUGGCCUACACCUCGUACAAUUCAUGAUGUCCGUUCUUUCCAUGGUUUGGCUACUUUUUACCGACGUUUUGUCAAGAACUUCGGCUCUAUUGCAGCUCCUUUGACACAUUGUAUGCGAGGUACUAAAUUUGAAUGGACUGAAGAAGCCGACAAAAGUUUUAACUUACUUAAAGACAAGCUUUCUACAGCCCCGGUUCUCGCUCUACCUGAUUUUUCCAAGAUUUUUGAAGUAGAUUGUGAUGCUUCCAUCAUGGGUAUUGGCGCUGUUCUUUCUCAAGAAGGUAAGCCUCUUGCAUUUUUUAGUGAGAAACUUAGUGAUGCUCGAAAGAAAUGGUCUACUUAUCAAUUGGAACUCUUUGCGUUGGUUCAAACAUUGCGUCAUUGGCAUCACUAUCUGAUCCAUAGGGAAUUUAUUCUCUACACUGACCACCAAGCUUUGCAAUUCCUUCAAAGCAGUUCCAAGACAAAUCGAAUGCAUGACAGAUGGAAAGACACAAUUGACAAAUACACUUUUGUGAUUAAGCACAAAUCAGGUCAACAAAACAAAGUAGCUGAUGCCCUCAGUCGAAGAGCUUCUUUGCUCGUUACAGUCAACACCGAUAUUGUUGGGUUUGAUUAUUUGAAGGAUUUAUAUGAUGAUGAUCCUGAUUUUUCAGAUAUGUGGAUUAAAUGCUCUCAAAAUCAAUCUGGUACAGAUGAUUUCAUUAUUCAGGAUGGUUUUCUUUUCAAGGGAAAUCACUUGUGCAUUCCUCAGGGCUCCCUUAGAGAACAUAUCAUUCGUGAAAUGCAUGCUGGAGGUCUCACAGGUCACAUGGGUCGUGACAAGACUAUUGCUUCGAUUGAAGAAAGGUAUUAUUGGCCUUCCCUAAAAAGAGAUGUUGGUAAUCUCAUUCAGCGGUGUUAUAUUUGUCAAACCGCAAAAGGUCAAUCUCAAAAUACUGGCUUGUACACACCAUUACCGGUUCCUAAUGCACCAUGGGUUGAUGUUUCUAUGGAUUUUAUCUUGGGUCUCCCUCGGACUCAAAGAGCUGUUGAUUCGGUUAUGGUUGUUGUAGAUAGUUUCUCCAAGAUGGCUCAUUUUAUUCCUUGCAAGAAGACAUCGGAUGCUCCAAUAUUGCUACUUUAUUCUUCAAGGAAAUUGUUCGUUUACAUGGAGUUCCAAAAUCUAUUACUUCAGACCGUGACACCAAAUUUUUAAGUUACUUCUGGAAGACUUUGUGGAUGAGACUUGGCACUUCCUUGAAAUUUAGUAGUACUUCUCACCCACAAACUGAUGGUCAAACUGAAGUUGUGAAUCGAACAUUGGGAAAUUUGAUUCGUUGUCUCUCUGGUGACAAACCAAAACAAUGGGAUCUUGUUUUGCCUCAAGCCGAGUUUGCUUACAAUACCUCAAAGAGUCGUACUACAGGAUAUUCUCCUUUUCAAAUUGUCUAUGCUAAAGUUCCCAAUCAUACCCUUGACCUUGUCUCUUUGCCUAAAGUUUCAGGUAUGAAUUUUGAUGCAGAUGCAAUGGUUGAUAGUAUGACUCAGCUUCACGACACAGUCAAGAAGAAUAUUGAGAAUUCUAAUACUCAUUACAAGGAAGAUGCUGAUAAACAUCGUCGUUCUCAAACAUUCGAAGUUGGAGACUUAGUAAUGGUGCAUUUGCGUAAAGAGAGAUUUCCUGUAGGUACUUACAACAAGUUGAAAAUGAAGAAGAUUGGUCCCCUAAAGAUUCUUCGCAAGAUCAAUGACAAUGCUUAUAUUGUCGAUCUUCCGAGUGACAUGCAUAUUUCCAAGACCUUCAAUGUCAAAGAUAUCUAUCAUUUUCAUGCUGAUGAUACUUCUAACUCGAGGACGAGUUCUUUUAAAGAAGAGGGGACUGAUGCAGAACAGUGCUGACGUCAUUGCUGACGUCAUCACCAGCAAGGCUGACAUCAUCGUCAGAAAUUUAUUUUUUUAUUUUCUUUUUAUCUUAUUUAGUAAUUUCUAAUUUAGAGUCUAGAAGUUCUAGAAUAGUUGGUUUACUACUAAGUUGAUAUUAGUAAUACAAUUCAAAGUAGGAUUUGUAUUUUGAUUUCUUUGUUUAGGAAGUCCUAGUGCUAGUUGGUCUUAGUCUUUAGUCUAUAUAAAGAGUCAUACUUUGUAGAACCAAUUCAAUUAUUCAAUCAAUACAAUUAAGAUUUGUCUCUACAAUUUAGUUUUCUCUAGUUUUAUAUUAGUUCUUCCUUUUUUCAAGGCAAACCUCCCCUUGGGUCAAGGUUUGAUUUUUAAUCGCUUCCGCUACGUCACUAUUCCAUGCCACGAAGAUUCCUUCAUCGAACUAACUAGUCUGUUGAUUGGCUCAUAAGUAAGAUGAUGAGCAGAUCCUGCAGCAGUGCUGCUCCUUGGAGGCUGGUUCCUUCAAAUUAAACCAUCCAAUUUUUUUAGAUGUUAAAGUAGGCAAUCAUGUAGACAUAAGUUUGUAUUAGAUAUACGGGAGGCAAAACAUACAAGCGUCUCCCUUUUACGACAUCAAUGAUUAGAAAUUAUUUUCAAUCUAGUUGACUGAUUAAUAAAGGAGGUCGUCUCUCAUUUUGAAAUCAUCACUUUGAUCUUUGAAUGACUCAUUUCAACAGAAGAAGGCAUGAGUAUUUGACCACUCAUGAAGCAUUUCUGC